CUGGGACCCAGGUUGGGUGCUUCGGCGCCCGCCCCCACCCCUUGCUUAGCCCCCGAAAUAAUACAAACCCGUCGGCCUCAGGCGCGCCGGCCGGACAUCAAACCCUGAACAACAUUGCAGCCUGAAGUGAAAAGCAAAUAGUUA
rnacentral:misc_RNA from 1 species